AUUGAACGCUGGCGGCAUGCCUUACACAUGCAAGUCGAACGGCAGCACGGAGCUUGCUCUGGUGGCGAGUGGCGAACGGGUGAGUAAUAUAUCGGAACGUACCCUAGAGUGGGGGAUAACGUAGCGAAAGUUACGCUAAUACCGCAUACGAUCUAAGGAUGAAAGUGGGGGAUCGCAAGACCUCAUGCUCGUGGAGCGGCCGAUAUCUGAUUAGCUAGUUGGUAGGGUAAAAGCCUACCAAGGCAUCGAUCAGUAGCUGGUCUGAGAGGACGACCAGCCACACUGGAACUGAGACACGGUCCAGACUCCUACGGGAGGCAGCAGUGGGGAAUUUUGGACAAUGGGCGAAAGCCUGAUCCAGCAAUGCCGCGUGAGUGAAGAAGGCCUUCGGGUUGUAAAGCUCUUUUGUCAGGGAAGAAACGGUGAGAGCUAAUAUCUCUUGCUAAUGACGGUACCUGAAGAAUAAGCACCGGCUAACUACGUGCCAGCAGCCGCGGUAAUACGUAGGGUGCAAGCGUUAAUCGGAAUUACUGGGCGUAAAGCGUGCGCAGGCGGUUUUGUAAGUCUGAUGUGAAAUCCCCGGGCUCAACCUGGGAAUUGCAUUGGAGACUGCAAGGCUAGAAUCUGGCAGAGGGGGGUAGAAUUCCACGUGUAGCAGUGAAAUGCGUAGAUAUGUGGAGGAACACCGAUGGCGAAGGCAGCCCCCUGGGUCAAGAUUGACGCUCAUGCACGAAAGCGUGGGGAGCAAACAGGAUUAGAUACCCUGGUAGUCCACGCCCUAAACGAUGUCUACUAGUUGUCGGGUCUUAAUUGACUUGGUAACGCAGCUAACGCGUGAAGUAGACCGCCUGGGGAGUACGGUCGCAAGAUUAAAACUCAAAGGAAUUGACGGGGACCCGCACAAGCGGUGGAUGAUGUGGAUUAAUUCGAUGCAACGCGAAAAACCUUACCUACCCUUGACAUGGCUGGAAUCCCCGAGAGAUUGGGGAGUGCUCGAAAGAGAACCAGUACACAGGUGCUGCAGGGCUGUCGUCAGCUCGUGUCGUGAGAUGUUGGGUUAAGUCCCGCAACGAGCGCAACCCUUGUCAUUAGUUGCUACGAAAGGGCACUCUAAUGAGACUGCCGGUGACAAACCGGAGGAAGGUGGGGAUGACGUCAAGUCCUCAUGGCCCUUAUGGGUAGGGCUUCACACGUCAUACAAUGGUACAUACAGAGCGCCGCCAACCCGCGAGGGGGAGCUAAUCGCAGAAAGUGUAUCGUAGUCCGGAUUGUAGUCUGCAACUCGACUGCAUGAAGUUGGAAUCGCUAGUAAUCGCGGAUCAGCAUGUCGCGGUGAAUACGUUCCCGGGUCU
rnacentral:rRNA from 1 species